rfam:Vitis vinifera, whole genome shotgun sequence of line PN40024, unoriented chromosome 2, chr2
ACCCCUUUCUUGGCCUUUCGGCUAAGAUUAGGUGUGGUAGCUUUUCAUAUCAGAUUAAUAUCUGAUACGUUCCAUCGUUCCACAAGAUAUUAAAGUUAUUUUUUUAAGGGGGAGGUCCCACUGUAAUUACUUGCGGUUCGGGACCUCGCGCGUCGCUCCGGCGUUGCACUAUUGCCUGGGCCUGGCGCACCCCUC